rnacentral:tRNA from 4 species
ACUAUUUUGACAGAAAAAUGUGAUGGUUUUAGAAGUCAUUAAUAUAUAAUAAUAAUAAUAAUAAUUAUAUAAGUAGUA